GAUGAACGCUGGCGGCGUGCCUAAUACAUGCAAGUCGAGCGAACAGACGAGGAGCUUGCUCCUCUGACGUUAGCGGCGGAAGGGUGAGUAACACGUGGAUAACCUACCUAUAAGACUGGGAUAACUUCGGGAAACCGGAGCUAAUACCGGAUAAUAUAUUGAACCGCAUGGUUCAAUAGUGAAAGACGGUUUUGCUGUCACUUAUAGAUGGAUCCGCGCCGCAUUAGCUAGUUGGUAAGGUAACGGCUUACCAAGGCAACGAUGCGUAGCCGACCUGAGAGGGUGAUCGGCCACACUGGAACUGAGACACGGUCCAGACUCCUACGGGAGGCAGCAGUAGGGAAUCUUCCGCAAUGGGCGAAAGCUUGACGGAGCAACGCCGCGUGAGUGAUGAAGGUCUUCGGAUCGUAAAACUCUGUUAUUAGGGAAGAACAAAUGUGUAAGUAAAUAUGCACGUCUUGACGGUACCUAAUCAGAAAGCCACGGCUAACUACGUG
rnacentral:rRNA from 1 species